CAUGCCCCAAGAUAAUAUCUCCUAUCCCCGAUUCGUCGGGGAGUAAGUCCGCAGGUAGACUACCUGCUUGAUAGGCUGCAUGUGUAAGCACAGUAAUGUGUUCAGCUUAGCAGUACUAAUGGACGAGGGCUUGACCUG
rnacentral:ncRNA from 1 species